rnacentral:misc_RNA from 1 species
UCCGGCUUUCACCGGCUGUCUCUUUAGAGUGCCCAGCUCUACCUGCUGGCAACUAAAAAUAAGGGUUGCGCUCGUUGCGGGACUGAACCCAACAUCUCACGACACGAGCUGACGACAACCAUGCACCACCUGUCUCCACUGUCCCAAAGGGUCAUCACUAUCUCUAGUAACUUCAGUGGGAUGUCAAGCCCUGGUAAGGUUCUUCGCGUUGCUUCGAAUUAAACCACAUGCUCCACCGCUUGUGCGGGCCCCCGUCAAUUCCUUUGAGUUUCAGCCUUGCGGCCGUACUCCCCAGGCGGAGUGCUUACUGGGUUUCCUUCGGCACUGAGGGGCGGGCCCCCCAACACCUAGCACUCAUCGUUUACGGCGUGGACUAC